AUACGGAGGACGCGAGCGUUAUCCGGAUUCAUUGGGUUUAAAGGGUGCGCAGGCGGCCGUGCAAGUCAGCGGUGAAAGCCCGGGGCUCAACCCCGGAAGUGCCGUUGAUACUGCAUGGCUGGAAUGCGGUCGAGGCGGGCGGAACGUGGCGGGUAGCGGGGAAAUGCGUAGAUAUGCCACAGAACGCCGAUAGCGGAGGCGGCUCGCCAGGCCUGCAUGGACGCUCGGGCACGAAAGCGUGGGGAUCGAACAGGAUUAGAUACCCUGGUAGUCCACGCCGUAAACGAUGGGCGCUCGUCGUCGGCGGCAGACAGUCGGCGGCCAAGCGAAAGCGAUAAGCGCCCCACCUGGGGAGUACGGUCGCAAGGCUGAAACUCAAAUGAAUUGGCGGGG
rnacentral:rRNA from 1 species